rnacentral:rRNA from 1 species
GACGAACGCUGGCGGCGUGCUUAACACAUGCAAGUCGAACGGAAAGGCCUGCUUUCCCUUGUGGAUUGCGGGUACUCGAGUGGCGAACGGGUGAGUAACACGUGAGUGAUCUGCCCCCAACUUGGGUAUAAGCCUGGGAAACUGGGUCUAAUUCCCGAUAGGACUGCAGGGUGGUGCCUGUGGUGGAAAACGAUUUUCUAGUGGUUGGGGAUGAGCUCGCGGCCGAUCAGCUUGUUGGUGGGGUAAUGGCCUACCAAGGCGGCGACGGGUAGCCGGCCUGAGAGGGUGGACGGCCACAUUGAGACUGAGAUACGGCCCAGACGCCUACGGGAGGCAGCAGUGGGGAAUAUUGCACAAUGGGCGGAAGCCUGAUGCAGCGACGCCGUGUGGGGGAUGACGGCCUUCGGGUUGUAAACUCCUUUCGACCGCGAGGAAGCCACCUGGUUGGAAGGGUGGUGACGGUAGUGGUAGAAGAAGCACCGGCUAACUACGUG